rnacentral:rRNA from 1 species
UCCUUUUAGUGGCGCAGCUAACGCGAUAAGUAGACCGCCUGGGGGAGUACGGUCGCAAGAUUAAAACUCAAAUGAAUUGACGGGGGCCCGCACAAGCGGUGGAGCAUGUGGUUUAAUUCGAAGCAACGCGAAGAACCUUACCUACUCUUGACAUCCAGUGAACUCUUGAGAGAUCAAUUGGUGCCUUCGGGAACACUGAGACAGGUGCUGCAUGGCUGUCGUCAGCUCGUGUUGUGAAAUGUUGGAUUAAGUCCCGUAACGAGCGCAACCCUUGUCCUUAGUUACCAUCAUUAAGUUGGGGACUCUAAGGAGACUGCCGGUGACAAACCGGAGGAAGGCGGGGACGACGUCAAGUCAUCAUGGCCCUUACGAGUAGGGCUACACACGUGCUACAAUGGCAUGUACAAAGGGU